rnacentral:misc_RNA from 1 species
AUCCAUUCAAAUCCCAUCACUAUGCGCUCCAAAUCCCUCCCAAAGUCCACCAAGUCCCCCAAUUUCUCGUUCACUGUUUUACAAACAGAGUAAAACGCUAGGCACGCGGCGGCAGGUGAAUCAAGUCCAAAUCUAGGCGCUACUGAUUCGUAAGACGCGCCGUGGGCGAGGCGGAAGAGGGUGGCUGCAAUGGCAGAAUCGGGAGGAAUGGAGGAGGGAAGGAAAGAGAGAAGGGAGGGUGAGAGAAGAGAAAGAAGACUUGUAAAGGUUUGCUUGGACAUGCGAAAAAU